rnacentral:rRNA from 1 species
CUACGGGGGGCUGCAGUAAGGAAUAUUGGACAAUGGUCGGAAGACUGAUCCAGCCAUGCCGCGUGAAGGAUGAAGGCGCUCAGCGUUGUAAACUUCUUUUGUACAGGAACAAAAUGCGACCUGCGGGUUGUACUGAGGGUACUGUAAGAAUAAGCACCGGCUAACUCCGUGCCAGCAGCCGCGGUAAUACGGAGGGUGCAAGCGUUAUCCGGAAUCACUGGGUUUAAAGGGUGCGUAGGCGGUCUGAUAAGUCAGUUGUGAAAUUCCCUCGCUUAACGAGUGGGACUGCGAUUGAUACUGUUGGACUUGAAUCAGGUUGAGGUAGGCGGAAUGUGGCAUGUAGCGGUGAAAUGCAUAGAUAUGCCAUAGAACACCAAUUGCGAAGGCAGCUUGCUGGGCUUUGAUUGACGCUGAGGCACGAAAGCGUGGGGAGCAAACAGGAUUAGAUACCCCAGUAGUC